UGUCUUUGGAGAAAGGGGUUCCGUUUGGACAUCCGCUCUGGGACAUGAGGGAGUGGCUGGGUAAGCCGCAAAGGGUGGCGAGGGGGCGCGACAGGGCCCGCGGCCAGGGCGCCCGAGGCCAGGCCCGGACCCGCGGGCGGUCGCAACUGGAGCCUGGAAGCAGAGGGGCGCAGACGAUGCGAGAAAAAUUGUGGAUGCCCUGGAACGGGCUCAUCGUGAUCGGGAAGAGAAUGGAGCUCCUGGGUAGAAACACGCAAAAGCCUAGGAUGUGGGACCCGAAGCUUGAGUCUGAGGACUGGAGACUGGAAGAUGUGGAAAAGGCAGUCUUGAGAGGAAAGUCAGGCCGGAGUCAGGAAAGGAUGGAUGUGAAACGAGUGCGCAGUGUAGCAAGUGCAUUACAGGCUUCCGCGGGUUUGCGGAAAGACAACUAGAGGUGUGGGGAAAGCAAGAAGUCAGACACGAAAUAGAGGCUGAAUCUGAGAAUGCAGGGACUACAGCGGGGUCUAGGGGGGGAUUUGGGUUUAAAUAGAGGUUGAAGUUUACUGGAGUGGGAACCAGUGGAGAGGACUCGAGAUCCAGAGGAUACGAACUAGGGCAGAAUGCGGAGGAGCUGAGGUCAAGUGGAGAGAAGCUGAGGUCAGGUGGAGAGAAGCUGAGGUCGAGUGGAGAGAAGCUGAGGUCAAGUGGAGAGAAGCUGCUGUUCAGCGGGGAAAGGCGGGGAUCCUGGGGAGAGAAGCUGCUGUUCAGCGGGGAAAGGCGGGGAUCCAGGGGAGAGAAGCUGGGGACUAGUGGAGAGAAAUUGUAGGGUUCAAGAAUGGGGAGCAUAAAUGAACAGAAAAUUGAAAGAGUGGUGAAAGUUACUGGUGAUGAAAGAUUGAUAGAAAUUACUGAUGCUGAGAUGGACAUUCCUUUUGAAAAGGUAGAGGAGAACAAUGAAGAGAUUGAGGAAGGGGUGGAGGUUGAGGAGGAUGUCUUGGAUGAAGUGAAUGAUAAUAUUGAUGAAUCCGUUUCUAUGGAAGAGAAAGAUUAUAGACAAAGGUACCAGUGAAUGAGGCAGAUGAAGGAUUUAAGGUAAAGAAGGAAAGAGAAGGAGAUAGGGGAAGUAUUGCAAGUCAGAGAGGAGAAAUUAGAGACAAGCAGAAAGUUACUGACCCUGAAGGGGUAAAUAUGAGAGGGAAAGGAGAGCAUCUUUGCCUAAGAGAAGAGAGAGUGGGAAUGAAGAGCUACUGGGGAUGAAGGCGGAGACCAGGACCAAAGGAAGUGAAGAAGAGUGAUAAAGAGGGAAAUGGAACAUUUUGAGAAGAAAGAGAAGAUUUGUUAAUGUGUUGAUAGGUAGAGGAAAAGUGGACAUUGGUUUCUUGGAAAAGAGCUGUGACUGAGGAGCUUACAGAGAAAUGUUUGAGAAAUGGAUUUAGGAUAGGCUAGAAGGAUUUAGUUUAACACAUGAUUGGGUUUAUGAGAUGUAGGAGAAUGCAUAGUGAGAAAAAUGGAAAGUUACAGCAGGAUAAGGAUAGGUCAUGAAGGUUGUGGACAGAGAUGCAGGCUGGAGUGCAGUUUCUGAGAGAGGAUCCUAAAGAAUAAUGAAGGGCUCCAAAGUGACAAAGGCAAGAGCAGAGAUAAGAAAAUAAAGAAGUGAAGAAAAAAAAUCUCUGCCUUCCCAAGACCAUCCACUGCUGGCCUCCUCUGGUGAUUAUCUGAGUACCGAGGAAUUGUUGCCUUUCUUAUAAGAAGCCUGCACAGGCACCAGGUCAAGACGAGCAGUUUUCGGUUGUGUGGGUCUCUCAGAUUAUGCCUCACAGUAUAUAAAUUGUGAACCAAAUAAUCAGACUUGUUCUUUGGCUGGAUUACAUUUUCUCCUGGAAUAUCAGAUGCAUUCCACCAAGACCACAGAAAGAAAAAGUGAAGAUCAAGAAACUGUGACACCGCUUUUAAGAAGAUCUGGCCACCCUGGGCCCAUAUGGCAACCCUUGCUGCCUGUCUGCAUUCCUGUGCUCUGCAGUUGGCCAGAGCCCGCCUGCCUGCCUGGCGUCCCUGCCCACCUUUGCAGGUGCCCGAGUUUGCUGGUCCAGUUUGAUGCCAAGCGGUGCUUGUGCAUUUGA